GGGAAUUUAGCUCAAUGGUAGAGCGCUUGCCUAGCAAGCAAGCGCAAGACCCUGGGUUCAUUCCCCAGCUCU
rnacentral:tRNA from 1 species